rnacentral:rRNA from 1 species
GAUGAACGCUGGCGGCGUGCCUAAUACAUGCAAGUCGAGCGAACAGACGAGGAGCUUGCUCCUCUGACGUUAGCGGCGGACGGGUGAGUAACACGUGGAUAACCUACCUAUAAGACUGGGAUAACUUCGGGAAACCGGAGCUAAUACCGGAUAAUAUAUUGAACCGCAUGGUUCAAUAGUGAAAGACGGUUUUGCUGUCACUUAUAGAUGGAUCCGCGCCGCAUUAGCUAGUUGGUAAGGUAACGGCUUACCAAGGCGACGAUGCGUAGCCGACCUGAGAGGGUGAUCGGACAAACUGGAACUGAGACACGGUCCAGACUCCUACGGGAGGCAGCAGUAGGGAAUCUUCCGCAAUGGGCGAAAGCCUGACGGAGCAACGCCGCGUGAGUGAUGAAGGUCUUCGGAUCGUAAAACUCUGUUAUUAGGGAAGAACAAAUGUGUAAGUAACUAUGCACGUCUUGACGGUACCUAAUCAGAAAGCCACGGCUAACUACGUG